rnacentral:rRNA from 1 species
GAUGAACGCUGACAGAAUGCUUAACACAUGCAAGUCUUUGGCGAAGCUGUGCUCGCACAGCCUAGCCAAGGCGGACUGGUGAGUAACGCGUAAGGAACUUGCCCUGCAGUCAGGGAUAACAGACGGAAACGACUGAUAAGACCUGGUAAAGUCAGGCGGACUCAUGUCCAGCCUGAUGAAAAGAGAUGCUGCAGGAGAGCCUUGCGUCCUAUUAGCUUGUUGGUGGGGUAACGGCCCACCAAGGCGAUGAUAGGUAGCCGGCCUGAGAGGGUGGACGGCCACAAGGGGACUGAGAUACGGCCCUUACUCCUACGGGAGGCAGCAGUGGGGAAUAUUGGACAAUGGGGGCAACCCUGAUCCAGCAAUUCUGUGUGCACGAUGAAGGUUUUCGGAUUGUAAAGUGCUUUCAGCAGGGAAGAAAAAAAUGACGGUACCUGCAGAAGAAGCGACGGCUAAAUACGUG